rnacentral:sRNA from 1 species
AAGUGUGUCAAGCAAGAUGCCAAAGUCCUUGCUAUUUCUCUCCUGAAGCCCUUUUGAGGGAUUUUCUGUGAUUUUUCACCAUUGGAAACUUCCAACUAUAGGUCUUUGCCUGGGAACUUACAGUUUCCUCUCAGCCCUUGUCUUCCCAGAAAUACUUUCUGUUGGGAUUUUCUUAUCAUUCUAAGGCAGCUAUCUGGGAAGGAGUGCCUUUGAACUCUCAAGAACACUUCUUUUCAGAAAUCCACCAGGCCAAUGAGAAAACACAUACCUGCUUGAUGGGUCCAUCAGUGGAAGUGCAAGCCAUUCCCAAUAUAGACCGGUCUCAAGACUGUGCUACUUCCAGCCAGUCUCAUAGAGAGGGCUUCAUAGGAGCACAGCCUCCCUCAACUCUAAGAGACAUACAAUUAGCCUGAAUUCAGGAAGAAAACUUUGACUAGGGUGAAGAAAGAAGAAUGACACAGCACUUCAGAAACUAUCUAACUAGAAACUCACUACCAUUUUUUCACAUCCCAUGAAUUCAUAGCUUUUUCUUAUGUAGGCUAGAGGUGAGUAAUGAGCAAAACUGGAUUCAUAUUCUCUGAUCCUAUUCUUAGCAGAUGUGUUUACUAUUGUUCUCCACAUCUGGGGCUUAUAAAAAGGAAAAGACACAGCUCGUGUCCUUGAAAUCUUGGCCACAUCAUUUAAACUUACUGGAUCUAUUUCCUCAACUGUAAAAUCCAGGCUUUGGAGAGAAGUUAAUGUAGUAUAGUCCCUCCCUUCAAGGAACUGGCAGUUUACUAAAGGAGAUGAAUCUCAAAAUAAUUACCCUACUAAAAAUUAGACUGGAAAUAUUACAGAAGUAAGCAGGAUGGGCUAUCUCAUGGAAAGAUGUAAAGAGGAGAAACAGGUUUUCCCAACAAAGGGAAGGACACUCUUCAGUUUUGUAUUCCCCACAACUCUUGUCAAGGUAGUAAAUGUUCAACAGAUACAUUUAUAUAUAAAUAAAUGCCCAAAGAGGUAAAUAUUAAGGAACUAUUUCACUUAUGGGACUGAGGAGAUAGAGUUUUUUGUACUUACUUAAUGAUAAGGCACCAAAUAUGAACCUGAGAUUGUCAUAUUCUGCCAUCUGGAAUAUUUUUAAACAAAUAGAUCCAUUUGCAAAAUGGCUGGAAGGUUUCAGAAAUGCCACCUCUGAUCAUGUAGGACUGUAAAACUGACACCAGCAUGGGUCACAUUUAUGAACUCUAACUUUGACCAAAUUGUGUACAGUCUGAACUAAAUAAAUGGAAUUCACCAGUUACUGUCUUUAUAACCCACCUUAGUAGAGAUGAACCCUCUGCCAAGCAGUAAAAACAAAAUAGGUACUUGAAGAAAAAAGAGAGAUCAAAGAAGAAAGGACAACUUGAGAGAGGAAGGUCAAGUGCAACCAAAGCCAGCCUGUACCUCUGCCAUAAGAACAUGAUCCAUCAGUGAAAUAUGUGUGUUUAUUGAAUGCCUACAAUUUAUUCAUUAUUUGCAAGGCAUCAUACAGAAGAUAUAAUGACCUUUAAGACAAGGUGAUUGUUUAUUUGAAAUUUGUACCAUAAAUUAUUUAAGGCAGUGUAUCAUGUAGUCUCCUACCAAUGCCUUUGCCAACUGUUGGAGUAGUGCUAGCCAUUCUCUCCUCUGAUGUCCUGGAAUACUUUACAUGUUCUAUCAUAAUGCAUUCUCACACAGGAUUUCUCUCCCUGGGUUUCCUUGAUUAUAAGCCAUAUAUUUUAUAGCCUUUGUAUCACCAAUGGCAAAAACAUCAGAGAUCAGCAAAUGGAAUAAACAGAUGAAUAAUGGACAAAGGAGUGGUAUAGAUGCAGACCCGGAGUAUUUCAAAUAUUGAACAGAAUAGAUGUUGAAGGGUAAGUGUUUCAACAUGGAGAAAAUUGGCAAAGAGAUGUUAGCUGAGGAACAGUAGGGCAGGUAGGAAGAAAUUUAUAUAAAAAGGAAUAAGAAAGAAAGCAGAAGCAGGGAAAUCUUAUAGAACAGCACCACUUUGAGAGAGGAUGAAAGAAGAAAGAACAGACACAAAGGACUUGGUCCUGAGCCAGCCCACAUUAGGGGGCUCAGGCAGUGCAGUUGGCUCUUUUCUCAUUAUGUGCACUUCUGAGGUAUAAUUAAAGGAGUGGUGGGUCCCCAGCAGUCAGUUCAGCUGUUAAAAGGGGUGUUUGUGCCACUAGCAGAACUCAGCACUGUAUGGCUCUGUUUUCUGUGAUAGUUUUGGUGGGGUGAAAAGGGGCUCAGAUGAAUCAGUAAAGUCUUCUGAUUCACAGUGCUUCUUGGCUUGGCUAUCAAAAUUCCUGCCACUUUUAUAUGAGUGGGCAGGACUUUCCAUUGCACUUGCUAGUGAGCAUAUAGAAAAAUCUCCCUCUUUAUUUAAAGGAUAGAAUAGGAAGUAGGAAUUACUGAGGAACUGGAUUUAUUUGUGUGGGGAUGUACAUUAUUGGCCUCAUAAGAUCAAAGCUGCAAUAUAACAUCUAAGCUGUCUGUAAAAUAUUUUUAAAUGUAAACUCAACCGUCCUUAUCCAUAUUCAUCCUUUGCAUGAGCGUGAAAGAUCGGAUUGUUCAAUAGUGAAAUUGCUUUGUCUUCCGAGUUGUUCAUGAGCAUUGACAAUAGGCAGCACUAUGCUUAUUUUCCAAGUGGUGGCUUCAGAGAGAAAACACCAAAAAUCUUACACUGUAUUCUGACAUUCUUUUAUUAGAGAUUCAUUAAUUCAUUAGAAGAUUUGAGGAUAUUUUCUCCCUCAAAAGGCAUUUGAUAAGAUGUGAACAUGUCUAAAGUAGCAGUGACAUAAGCUUUUAAUUUUGGCUGUUCCCUUAGGGCCACACACCUGAAGGGUAAACUGGAUACGUAUCUUAGAGCUCAGAAAAUCAUAGCAUUUCAGAUUCUGAAGCACUGAACCCAUUGUUUUCAACAUACAGAUGAGGAGGCUGAGUCCUGGAGUGGUAAAGUGUUGUACACAAAUGUGAAAUUAUUGUGUUACAAAUCCAAAACAGACCAGUACCGUAUCUCUUGACUCUCACCACUAGUCUUUCCUCUAUGCCACAUCUUGUUCAGGAUCAGCCCUCUGUCAAGAGUACAAAGAGAGGACAAAGAAAGGGAGCUUCAAGGAGGAAGAACAACCUGAGAAAGGUGAAGGACAACAAAAAUGAGCUCUUGUCUCUGCUGUGAUGCUUGGGGACAAGCUUGUGUGGGAGCUUAGCCACGACACAAUGAGACCAAGCAUCACAGCAAAAUAUAGCCCUACAUUUCUGCAGCAUCAGGACAGUAAUGCAGAUUUUACACUUAAUGAUAGCUCUUUCAAUUCUGUUGUAGAAAACAAGAGCUCUCUAGCUCUCAAGCUGUAUUUCUAAUUUUAAAUACUUAUACAUUUACAUUGCAGUGAAAUUGCUCCAUACGACCCUUGGAAAUACUACUGUACAACAUCAACUUAGGGUGCUUUUUUAACUCAUUUGAGUGAAAAAUGGUGAUCACAAGUCUGUAUUUUCUUAUAACUGUUAAUAUUUCAGUGAGGUAAGAAAAAAUACAGGGCUAAUUUAUGAAAUGAGUGAGCUUUUUUCUAAGUAGUGUUUGCCAGGUGUGUAGAUUGGUAGUUUAGGAAAUAAAACAACUCCUUUCCAGAAUGAAAAAGUGAUGAAAUCUUUUAUUUUAAAAGUAAAUGUUUAUGCUUACUUUUAAUUUUAAAUGACCCUGAUUAACUGAAAAUAUAAACAUAUAUAGUAUUCAAUUUUUCCUUUCAUGUCAAAAAUUGAAUAUAUUGCAUUCAAUUUUUCAAUUGAAUUUCAAUUGAAUUUCAGUAUUCAAUUGAAUAUAUAGUAUUCAAUUUUUCCUUUCAUGUCAAUAGGUAUUUAUACACCAUUUAUGUAUUUUCAGUUGAAGAGCUAAAAAUGGUUAUGGGAAUAAAAGACUUCAAUCACGAUUGUAUUGUUCCCUUUAAAGAAAGGGGUGUUCUUUUCCUACCUACUAUUCAUGGAACAGGAGGUUGUGUUAACUUUGUAAUGCUGCUGUAACAAAUUACCACAGACUUAGAGGUGUAAAACAAGGCAAACUUAUUAUCUUAUAGUUCUGGAAAUCAGAAGUCUGAAAUCUCUCUCAUUGGGCUAAAAUCAAGGUGUUGACAGGGCCAUGUAGCUUUGUGAAAGCUCCAGAGGAGAAUCAGUUUCCUUGCCUUUCCAGUUUCUGGAGAACACCUGUUUGCCUUGGCUCAUGCCCCCUUCCACCAUUGUCCAAACCAGCAACAUCAGGACAAGUUUUUGUUGUAGUUGUUGUUUUCACAUUGCCAUGUCUCAGACUCUCUCUUCAGUCUCUUUUCCAUUUUCAAGGACCCUUGUUAUUAAAUUGGGCUCACCUGUGUAGCUAGGGUAAUCUCCCUAUUUAAAGAUCAGCUGAUUAGCAACCUUAAUUCUUCUUUGUACCCUAAUUACAUUCACAAAUUUUGGAGAUUAGGACCUAGACGUCUUUGGGAGCCAUUAUUCUGCCUACCACAAAGCUCAAGAAGGUUAAGAUGAAAAGCUGUUACUGCCACUUGAUGACAAGUGGUUGAGGAUAUCAUUGCAUCCCUGCUGAAAACUUCAUGCUGGAGUGUGUGUGAUUAGUGGGCCGAAAGCAAUAUUUCUCUAAGGCAUAGAAUGAGACUCAGUACUUUCCCCUCACCUCGCUACAGGCUAGGAUGCCUAGCAGCUAAGUCUGUGCUGAAUGUUAUUAAUGAGUUAACUACUAAUUAUAUGAGCUGAUUCCAUCAGAAUAUACCUGAAUGUAUAUAAGUAGUAGGCAGCUAAUAUAUUCAGAUAAAAAUCAUUUUGAACAAAAUUGAAAAUAUAGCCAUAUUCAAAAUAUAGUUUAUGUAAAUACCAUAUCCAUUUUUUUCCUUUCAACACCUUGAUAUCUGCAUUCAAAAAUUUUACUUUUGGCAAUCACUAUAGUAGUUAAGUUGGAAAGUAAUUUUUUUACAGAAUAAAAUAUACUGAUGGAACUCCUAUGAAACUGACAAAUAAACCUAUUUGGGUGGGCAUAUGAGGUAAUACUAAAUAUCUUUUUUUGCUUUUAUAGAAAGCUAGUCAAUUAAUUGUUUCCUUUACACAGGUUUUCAUGACAAAUCAUUGAGAUUAGUCAUGCCAACUGUUGAGCAGGUGGCUCUCCUCCUUGGCAUCCCUGUUGCUUAUGGACUUCCACCCAUGUCAUUCUUUACUCAAGAGAGAGAAUUCUUUGGCAGUGAAAACCAUGUGGCUUCUCAAUAUUUGUGUGGAUUAAGCAUCCACAAUGUACACAUAGUGUGAAACACACUGUUGGAUGGAUAUAAAUGCCCAUUUUACCUUUUAUCUUUUCAAUUUCUUCCCACUCCUAAAUUAUCCCUCACCUGCCAAACAUAGCCCCGGAUUCAAAAAUAAUUAGGAUUCAGAUUCUGAAAAUCACAGCUCCUAUAAUUUAGCAUUACCAGAUUUUCAGCUUUCACUAAGUAUAAAUACAUUCUAAUUUAAAUGAACACUAAAUUUCAUCAAAAUUGGUGGAAAACACUCUGGAAAAACUAUGGAAAACACUUAGAAUGUCGCCUGUACAGAGUAAGCAUUACAUAGAGCUAGUAGUAGUAGUAGUAGAAAAUUGAUACUUUAAUAUUAUUUUGAUAAUAUAAUAACUCCUGAAUUCCUAUAUGUGUUUCUAUUUAUUUGUACUUCCUUUGAAAAAUUGUGAUUUCUAC